rnacentral:rRNA from 1 species
GACGAACGCUGGCGGCGUGCUUAACACAUGCAAGUCGAGCGGUAAGGCCCUUUCGGGGGUACACGAGCGGCGAACGGGUGAGUAACACGUGGGUGACCUGCCUCUAGCUCUGGGAUAAGCCUGGGAAGCUGGGUCUAAUACCGGAUAUGACCUCGCGGUGCAUGUUGCGGGGUGGAAAGCCUUGUGCGGCUAGGGAUGGGCCCGCGGCCUAUCAGCUUGUUGGUGGGGUGANGGCCUACCAAGGCGACGACGGGUAGCCGGCCUGAGAGGGCGACCGGCCACACUGGGACUGAGACACGGCCCAGACUCCUAC